AGUAUAGGGGGAGGAAGAAGGGUGGAAAAUAUUCGCCUCCUGUCAUUACUAAAAUUAAGAUUAUAACUACACUACGUUAUCAUAAUCUACAAUUUUACCACAUGACAGAAGGCUUCAUAUUUGCAUUUUUAAUGCUAUAAAAGAAGAGCCAUGAUGCAUGAGAAGGACGGAAAUAGAUGAUCCGAAAUAUAUCUUCACGAGACCAGCCAGCGGAACGCAUAAUGUCCACCAGUGAAGUCCCCUACGAAAAACCACACAAAGCCACCACACUGCAUAUGGAGUGCACUACAAACGUCGAUUCGAUGCCUACCAGUAACAGCAACCAUCUAACCCAUCUAGCGAGGGUCGUAGUUGAGACUGGUCCAUGCGGUUGUACAUAGCAUACCAGUAAUUGCCCGGAAGGGGAAUGACGAAGUGAAGAUGUAACUUCCACGUAGCGAAGGAGAGUUUUAACCAUGCAAAGAUGGGGCAAAGAAGGAAAAAAACGGAUAAACCAUCCCCGUCGAACGCCAUAACAUCCGAUAUCCUACGCAAGGAAACCAGACAUAGCAGUAAAGUGAGCUUUGCUGACAGUUAACGCAAAGAUAACAAUGAGUUGUCUGGGCAAUUUCAAAGGAAAUUCAAAACCAACUCGAAGUUCCAGAGACGUGAAUACUUCGGGCCUGGGGGGGCGAGACAAAUGCAUACCUCUCAUGAGGCGACAAACAAAUGGAUCCUGUCCCACUGGGAGUCCUUGAAUAGGGAUGUGGGCUGCCGAUAUGGCCGACCGCAUAACCGAACAGUAAGACCGAUCCGAUGAAAAAAUAGCAGAGAG